AUUGAACGCUGGCGGCAUGCCUUACACAUGCAAGUCGAACGGUAGAGGGGGCAACCCCUUGAGAGUGGCGAACGGGUGAGUAAAGCGUCGGAACGUGCCCAGGAGUGGGGGAUAGCUCGGCGAAAGCCGGAUUAAUACCGCAUGUGACCUGAGGGUGAAAGCGGGGGACCGCAAGGCCUCGCGCUCGUGGAGCGGCCGAUGUCAGAUUAGGUAGUUGGUGGGGUAAAGGCCUACCAAGCCGACGAUCUGUAGCUGGUCUGAGAGGACGACCAGCCACACUGGGACUGAGACACGGCCCAGACUCCUACGGGAGGCAGCAGUGGGGAAUUUUGGACAAUGGGCGCAAGCCUGAUCCAGCCAUGCCGCGUGCGGGAAGAAGGCCUUCGGGUUGUAAACCGCUUUUGUCAGGGAAGAAAUCUGCCGGGUUAAUACCCUGGUGGGAUGACGGUACCUGGAGAAUAAGCACCGGCUAACUACGUGCCAGCCGCCGCAGUAA
rnacentral:rRNA from 1 species